rnacentral:rRNA from 1 species
GCUAGCAGCCAUAUCACCCUGCAGCUCUCAACUGGCAGCCCACUGAAGCUCAGCAGGGUUGAGCCUGGUCAGUAACUGGAUGGGAGACCUCCUGGGAAGCUAUGGUCGCUUCUGGAA